CACUUUCUUCCGCUUUCCGUCGGUGACUGGGAACAUUAAAAACGAGCUUUGCUGCUAAAGGUGUGAAGAUUGACCCUCCCUUCAUAAAGAGAUGUUCACAGCUCAGUCUUUCCUUGUGAGAAACGCGACCCAUAAACAGCAGGUGACCGCCAUGUGCUGUUCAUGCAAACAACAAGGUGUUGGGAAAAUCAAAGGUGGAGGCUUCGUGUGACGUUCCAGCUGAGAUGCUUCACAAUCUUGGGCCUGGUUCGACUGGUUUAAGGAUGUGAAGCCCUGAACAGAAGAUCCUGGAGGUCGAGCUGCUGCGGAGCCGUGAUGGAGGUUAAAGGUUCUUGGCUCGUGACGACUGUCGCCUCGGAUCACACGUGUUCGUCCAGAUGUUCCUGUUGGCUCGUCGUCGAAGCACUGCCGUCCCACGAAGGUGGUUCUGAACCGUGUGGUCCCAUCCAACACCUGCACGCUUCACGUUUGGGUCUCUCCCCAGAAUAAAGCGCUGCUUCUUCUUGUUGGUUUCUUUCAAGCACCGAGAUGCUCCUGGCUUCACCACAGACUGAACGGUUCUGUUCCAACAACUCGUCCUGGACUCACUGCAGGUAAAUGAACAAACACGAUGAAGAUGCUGGAAUUGUGCAAAUGAUGAAUUUCGCAACAGUCACGGGAAUACCGGCAAAAUAUUCCCGUUCUCAUCUGGUACUCAUCCUCCUGUUGGGCCCAGUACGGCACUGAGAACCCUGUUCUGGGACAACAGGUGUAAGGUGACCUGCUGGGUUCUGAUGGGCGGUUCUGGCUGAGGGUCUGACUGAGGCACAUUUCUGAUGA